rnacentral:tRNA from 1 species
GCGCCGAUAGCUCAACUGGAUAGAGCGCCAGACUACGGAUCUGGAGGCUGGGGGUUCAACUCCUCCUCGGCGCG